UCAUUGGAAGGGGAAACUACAGAUAAUAGACAUAGGAACCUAACAGCUCCCAGAAGCCAGACUGAGAAAGAAAAGCAUAAAGGACACGCAACAGCAUGAUGCCUGAGCAAGGAAUGUGGAUGGAGAAGGGAAUAUUGGACAAGGUCAGGACCGCCACUUCUAGAGAAAUGUGAUACCGGGACAAGAUAUGACUAAAAAUGUCUGCAGAGCAGCAGAGAGUGCCUACCUCAAGUAGAAGUAUGAUAGUUGAACUUUAUUGUGCUCUAGAAAAAGCAAUAAACCCUUCUGCAAACUUCAUAAGAUAGCACAGUAAAAGGAACUCUACACCAAGAGGACAUUUUCCCUUCAAAAUAACAAAGCAGAACACAAAGUAAAUCAAAGCAUAUAAACGGAGAAAGGAAUUCCGUUGCCUUUGAAAUUGAACUCCAGAAAUAAUUUACUUAAAAAGAGUUCCUCAGAUAUAGCUUGAAGUCUAAAGACAAUCAUUGAUCAUCAACUGGUAUUCUCUUACUCCAUCAGCACUCCAGAUACAAAGCAAGAGAAAACCCAGAGUAAAAAAUUUAAAUGGACAAUAUUUCAUCUGCAACCUGGAAAGUCUUCUAUGCUUGCUGUUGUAUUGACUUUCCUACUUAUCUCAGAAAAUUGUGCAUUUAAUCAUCUCUCUCUAUUUUCUUUGACUCUUUUCCAGUGAGAGAGUAUAAGAUUGUUUACCUAAAGACCUCGAAGUCUAGCAAGAUAGGAAGCAAGUUGUUACUUAAGCAGGUUGGGGGGGCAUUAUGGGCACAAUGAAAAUUAAUCAUUGGUUCUCUUUGCCUAUCAAAAUACAUCGUUCACAUAGGACCCCUUUCCCCAAUAAAUUUAGAUCAUGCCUACUCUAGAAAAGGAAUCACAGCAUUGUCACUUCUUGAUGUUGUGAAGUAAUUUGUAAUGCGCAGAAAUGAUUUGAAUACAUGUCCCAACAGAGCUUUGUGAAGGAAACUCAAAGCUAUUCUGACAUAAUAGCAAAUGAUAGCAGAGAAGGGACUGAAGCACUGCAGCAAACCCAAAAUUGUUCCAAUAUUCAGCUGCUAGAACAAAAAAGAAAAGCCUCACUACUGAACCUUUUUCAUUUCGUAUAGCUGCUCAAAAUUUAGAAAACUCAUAGACCAUAAUCCAUUAAAACAGCAUCUAUUACAUCAAGUUCUAAUUGCUAAACUUGCUGGUAAAUCCUUGGGGUAAAGAGAUUGGAACUCUUCCAUUUUCAAUAAAGAUUAUUUGUAAAACUAAAAAAAAAUCCAUGAGACAAUCUGAUAGAUGUCUCAUUAUUCCUGA
rnacentral:lncRNA from 1 species